rnacentral:rRNA from 1 species
UAAUAGCGGCAUCAUUUGACGUUAGCUGCAGAAGAAGCACCGGCUAACUCCGUGCCAGCAGCCGCGGUAAUACGGAGGGUGCGAGCGUUAAUCGGAAUUACUGGGCGUUUGAAAGCGCAUGCAGGUGGAUGAUUAAGUCAAGUGUGAAAGCCCGGGGCUCAACCUCGGGAAUAGCAUUUGAAACUGGUCAUCUAGAGUACUGUAGAGGGGGGUAGAAUUUCAGGUGUAGCGGUGAAAUGCGUAGAGAUCUGAAGGAAUACCGGUGGCGAAGGCGGCCCCCUGGACAGAUACUGACACUCAGAUGCGAAAGCGUGGGGAGCAAACAGGAUUAGAUACCCUGGUCCCGCAGUCCACGCCGUAAACGAUGUCUACUUGGAGGUUGUGGCCUUGAGCCGUGGCUUUCGGAGCUAACGCGUUAAGUAGACCGCCUGGGGAGUACGGUCGCAAGAUUAAAACUCAAAUGAAUUGACGGGGGCCCGCACAAGCGGUGGAGCAUGUGGUUUUUUAAUUCGAUGCAACGCGAAGAGCCUUACCUACUCUUGACAUCCAGAGAAUCCUUUAGAGAUAGAGGAGUGCCUUCGGGAGCUCUGAGACAGGUGCUGCAUGGCUGUCGUCAGCUCGUGUUGUGAAAUGUUGGGUUAAGUCCCGCAACGAGCGCAAUGAACCCUUAUCCUUGUUUGCCAGCGAGUAAUGUCGGGAACUUCAGGGAGACUGCCGGUGAUAAACCGGAGGAAGGUGGGGACGACGUCAAGUCAUCAUGGCCCUUACGAGUAGGGCUACACACGUGCUACAAUGGCGCAUACAGAGGGCGGCCAAAUGCCUUGCGAGAGUGAGCGAAUCCCAAAAAGUGCGUCGUAGUCCGGAUCGGAGUCUGCAACUCGACUCCGUGAAGUCGGACCCAUCGCUAGUAAUCGUGGAUCAGAAUGCCACGGUGAAUACGUUCCCGGGCCUUGUACACACCGCCCGUCACACCAUGGGGAGUGGGCUGCAAAAGAAGUGGGUAGUUUAACCUUCGGGGGGACGCUCACCACUUUGAUCGGGUGAUUCAUGACUGGGGUG